rnacentral:lncRNA from 1 species
UUGCUUUCUUUAAGCAAACACCUUAUUAUUAGGAACAGUGUCUCUUUGAUUAGAAAUCCUUGUUAAAAUGCAAAAUGACAAAAGGAAAGUUUGCAUUAUAGUGUUGAAAAAACAUAUGCAAAAAUUGAAUCAUGUUUUGUGCCAUUUCCAUAUGAUGUGUGAAAAGUUUAUUGUUUUUAAUGUCAGGCAGAGAUAUGUUCAUGUAUGAAUGAAAUUGUCUGCUUCAGAGUUAAGAAAUGGGCAGUGUGGCAGAGCUGUGCCUUGGGAAGCUCACAUCCUCUAUCAGAGAGCCAGAUCCUAUCAAUGCCAGUUAGAGACCUGACUGCUCUGCUUCUGAUCCAACUCUGCUGGUAACUGGGAAGGCAGCAGCUGAUAGCCCAAGCACUUGGGCCGCUGCCACCUAAGUAGGAGACUCUGAUGGAGUCCCUUGGCUCUUGGGUUCUAAUCUGGCUCAGCCCAGGCUGCUGCAGGUGUUUAGUGAUAAGAUGGAAGAUACUUCUGUGUCUGUAUCUGUCCCUCCAUCUCUAUCUUUCUGCUUUGCAAGUGGAUGAAAAGAAACAUUUGAGAGAGAGAGAAACAGAAGACUAACCAAGACUCCAGUCUUAUCUUGCAAACAGCAGGAAACUUCACUGAAACGCCCAGACAAAACUGAGCUCAGUCAGAACCCAGGGACGGUGAACUGUGCAUGUGCCACUGACACUGGAGGGCCUGAUGACGUUGGUGGCACAGAUCUCCCCUCACCAAGCAUCCCACGAUGGCCAUUUUUUGACAUGGCAGGAAGAGGCCUGCAGUUGACUGGCACCUGUGCAAAACUAAGAAUUUCCUUAGCUAUCCGGAUAACUCCAUGCCCCACCUUUAGCCCUCUCCCACCCUACUCUCCCCUAUCCCCCCUUCACACAAAUAUGUAUGUAAAAGUGGUGGUGGGAGUUAGGUUUGAGUGUCUCUACUCACUGCUAGCGUGGCUGCCUCCUAAGACCUUGGCUUUGCUGUUUGGCUUUCUGACAGCAGGCAAGGGGGCUCAUCUUGGUUUCCUGAUGUUAAUACUUCAAAUCUAUGCUAACAUCUUCCUCUAUAAUGCCUUUUCAUUGUAAUGUCAAGAAACACAACUGUAGUUUAAGAAAUGAUUACUGCAAACCUAAGGGAUUGCCAUCUUUUGGUGCAAAUAUUUAUGUUUUGGAAUUUAUAUAUACCAAUUAAUUUUCAUCAAUGUCAAGAAACCAAAGAUGGCCUGUGGGUUUAUACCAGAGUCACUGCCUGUUUUUUCACAGGAAAUGAAUAGUUUACCCCUAAUUAAAUACUACUCUCUACUGCAAGAAGGGAAAUACAUGUACUUUCUACUUGAACUCUAAACAAGCAACAAAGUAGCUCCAAGGAAAAGACCUUGUAAAAGGAGGAAGGAAGAGACUCCUUUAACCUGUCUUGUUUCUUCUUUGAUUCACUUGUCAGAAAAACAGCAUCUCUUAUUCCACCGCAAAACUCACUCAUUGUUUUAAAUGAAAACCUGUUUUAGAAAGUGAACUAAUUUUUAAAGAAUGGAGAAUACUAAAAAGUUCCUUAAGAUGAGUCACACGACUUAUUUUACCUUGCUGUCCAUUCAGUUCACAUCACUGCCAAGGUCACAACAGGCCUUUUAAGCUUCUGAACACAUGCUUGUGCAAUGGAAAGAUCUUUAUCUGUCUUGCCAAUGAUAUUAUUACCACGUCAAAUGUCAGAAAAGUUGGACUAAUUACAGCUUCACCCAGUUUACAUUCUGAUCUUAUAAAUGCAAUUGUGGGCCAUUUCACAUCACAUCCAUGUGCAUUACGUAUAAUCUCGAACAUCUAAAACACUACCCAGGAUGAAUAAAUUGUGAUCUAG